GAGUUACCUGGGCUGGUUGCGUGGGAAGCCAGGGCUAAGAACCACUGAGGAGUUCAUCUAGGAUAUUCCAUUCUCCCAUCUCCCACUCGGACACCCUCUCCCUCACUAUUCUUUAUCUUCUGUGGCCGUUUGAAAGGAUGCCAGGCUUGAGCUGCAAGAUUCUUUGGAAAUUCCUCAAGAAGUUAACUAUAUUUUCCUGUUAUAUGUCCAAACAAACCGAAA
rnacentral:lncRNA from 1 species